GUGUGUGCUGUGGUUGGUUAGCUGGGCCAGUGUGUGUGUGCUGUGGUUGGUUAGCUGGGCCAGUGUGUUGUGUGUUGCGGUCGGUUAGCUGGGCCAGUGUGUGUUGCGGUCGGUUAGCUGGGCAAGUGUGUGUUGCGGUUGGUUAGCUGGGCCAGUGUGUGUUGCGGUUGGUUAGCUGGGCCAGUGUGUGUGUGCUGUGGUUGGUUAGCUGGGCCAGUGUGUGUGUGCUGUGGUUGGUUAGCUGGGCCAGUGUGUGUUGCGGUUGGUUAGCUGGGCCAGUGUGUGUUGCGGUUGGUUAGCUGGGCCAGUGUGUGUGUGCUGUGAUUGGUUAGCUGGGCCAGUGUGUGUUGCGGUUGGUUAGCUGGGCCAGUGUGUGUGUGCUGUGAUUGGUUAGCUGGGCCAGUGUGUGUUGCGGUUGGUUAGCUGGGCCAGUGUGUGUGUUGCGGUUGGUUAGCUGGGCCAGUGUGUGUGUGCUGUGAUUGGUUAGCUGGGCC
ensembl:lncRNA